GGUUUGCUGGCUGUGCUGGCCUCAGAGGGAGCUCCUUUGGCGGCCGCAGAGGGAGCUGGCUGUUCUGUCUCUGCUCCCCCUCCCCUGCGCGCCGCUUAAUGAAACCGGGGCCGGAAUAUGACAUCAUAUUCCGGCCCCGGUCUCUUUGUAGCGUGCUGGGGAGGGGGAGCAGAGACAGAACAGCCAGCUCCCUCUGCGGCCGCCAAAGGAGCUCCCUCUGCGGCCAGAACAGCCAGCAAACCCUG